AUGCAAGUCGAGCGGUAGGAGGUGCUUGCACCUCUUGAGAGCGGCGGACGGGUGAGUAAUACCUAGGAAUCUGCCUGAUAGUGGGGGAUAACGUUCGGAAACGGACGCUAAUACCGCAUACGUCUACGGGAGAAAGCAGGGGACUUCGGGCCUUGCGCUAUCAGAUGAGCCUAGGUCGGAUUAGCUAGUUGGUGAGGUAAUGGCUCACCAAGGCUACGAUCCGUAACUGGUCUGAGAGGAUGAUCAGUCACACUGGAACUGAGA
rnacentral:rRNA from 1 species